GACGACCCCACCGCCCAUCACCUUUUGGUGAUGCAAUCAGUCAUGUGGCGUGCAGUUGGACGGUAGGAUCCCAAUGGACUCUUUGAUCAAUGAAUGUUUAAUAGUGAUAUUUUCCUAUAAUUUAAAAAAAACUGAUUUAAUAAAGACAACCCAAAUAUCAAUUUCCCAAUGUAUUAGGUUUCCUAGACUAUCAAGUCCGUGGCCUCAAUACCAGAUAUGCACUUGUCCACUUGACCACUGCCGAUAUUGACAAAUGUGAAAGGUCAAGUAUGUUGCAAAUAUCAUGUGACGCCCAAAAAUUCUUUAUCAAUAUUGUAUAUUGCGACUAUAUAAUAAUUAUUAUAAAAUUAAAUGUAUUCUCAAAAACUUUGAAAACAUGAAGGUGCUUUCUCGGGUUUUAAUUUUGUUGGCUAUAGCAGAAGUCGUUUAUUUGCAUGAGGGAUGUAUCAGCGGUGAGGAAGCGCAAUGGGCCAAAAUAAUGUUAUCGUACCCUUACGAAUGCUUGGAUCCGCAAUAUUUAUUAGAGAUGUUGACGUGUUUCGAUACGCCGCAUAAUAAUAUUACCUAUGGAGAAGGAAUCAAUCAAUGUGUGAGUAAAUCCUACGCGUUGAGCGGAGUUGUUUGCAGAAGUAAUUGUACCCCAAUGUUGAAUGAGUUACUGUAUAUGGCUGUUCGAAAAUACAAUUUCAACUGUUACAACCAAAAAUUUUUGGAAUUGUGGUUCAAAUGCAUUUUCGACAUUCGUAAAAGUGCCGAAUGCCCAGUAAAUGGUUACAGUUCAUGUACCAUACAAGUUAAGGAUCUAGUCCUAUAAAUUAUAUUUUCCUCAAAUAAUAAGCUCAACCAAAUGUAGGUACACAUUUUUUCCUUCUUUACGUUUGUGUAAUCCUGAUGUGUAUUUAGUUUGAAGUGUCACAAGUUAUAUAUUGUAUUUAUCGCAAAAAAGUAUAAAUGGUGCACACAUUUUGUGCAGAUAAAGGAG